UACAGAGGUCUCAACCGUUGUUCGGAUUCAUUGGGCGUAAAGAGCGUGUAGGCGGCCCGGUAAGUCCGCUGUGAAAGUCCAGGGCUCAACCCUGGGAUGCCGGUGGAUACUGUCGGGCUCGAGUCCGGAAGAGGAGUGUGGAAUUCCUGGUGUAGCGGUGAAAUGCGCAGAUAUCAGGAGGAACACCAAUGGCGAAGGCAGCACU
rnacentral:rRNA from 1 species